rnacentral:rRNA from 1 species
CGUAACACGUAUGUAACCUACCUUUAUCUGGGGGAUAGCCUCUCGAAAGAGAGAUUAACACCGCAUAAAAUCACAGCACGGCAUUGUGCAAUGAUCAAAUAUUUAUAGGAUAAAGAUGGGCAUGCGGAACAUUAGCUAGUUGGCGGGGUAACGGCCCACCAAGGCAACGAUGUUUAGGGGAUCUGAGAGGAUGGCCCCCCACACUGGUACUGAGACACGGACCAG